AUCACUCCCAAAUUAUAUUCUUCUUCUGGGUGUAUGUGGUUAUUGCUGCUACUGCCAGAUUUUAUACAGCAUUUUGUAUGCUUAUAACUAAAAAAGUAGUAUGGAUUUAAACUUAAUUGCUUUUGCAGUAUCCUAUUUAUAGUUAUUAAUGUGCAGCAGAUGGGUAAAUUCUCCACCUGUUCUCAGUGCCAUAUCCAGCUGUUUCAGUGAUAAUUGUAAUUUAUCAACGUGGGAAUAAGUCUCAGACAAACUCAGAAGUGUAAAACCCAUUUUGAUUUGAACUGAGGAAAGUAAAGCCAUACAAAAAUGCCCUGGAGUUCCACAUCAGUGGCUUUUCCACUUGCAGUACCUCAUCAUAUGCUUUGUGAUAUGGAAAUCAAAACAGAAAUUCCCAGUGCUUUCUACAGUGACAGUAGGAAGAUGAUCAAAGCCAGUGUUGCUGAGACUUGUGUGAGCAAAGUUAGUGCCUCUUACUCUUCCUUAUGUGUCACAGUCCCUGUAUCAUUGUGACUUCAUGCAGCUCAGUAGAAGAGACAAUGCGAUACCUCGUCCUGCUCCAUAUCCCAGCACUAUCUGUCCUCCUCCAUUUCACCCCAGUCUUGAUGUUUUCUAUGACACUGUGAAUCCCAAAGAUGAGGCUCUGGGAACAUAGAAUGGAGUCAGAAGACUUCCCAGGAUUUAGAAGUAUA